rnacentral:rRNA from 1 species
UACGUAGGGUGCGAGCGUUGUCCGGAUUUAUUGGGCGUAAAGAGCUCGUAGGCGGCUUGUCGCGUCGGAUGUGAAAGCCCGGGGCUUAACUCCGGGUCUGCAUUCGAUACGGGCAGGCUAGAGUGUGGUAGGGGAGAUCGGAAUUCCUGCUGUAGCGGUGAAAUGCGCAGAUAUCAGGAGGAACACCGGUGGCGAAGGCGGAUCUCUGGGCCAUUACUGACGCUGAGGAGCGAAAGCGUGGGGAGCGAACAGG